GGGCUCAGAACGAACGCUGGCGGCGUGGAUAAGACAUGCAAGUCGAGCGCUGAUUUCAGGGUAGCAAUAUUCUGAAGUCGGAGCGGCGCAAGGGUGCGUAACACGUGGGUAAUCUGCCAUAAAGUUCGGGAUAACUUGCUGAAAGGCGAGCUAAUACCGAAUGUGGCCCGGGAGAGGCAUCUCUCCCUGGCUGAAGCUGGGGACCGCAAGGCCUGGCGCUUCUUGAUAAACCCGCGGCCUAUCAGCUAGUUGGCGGGGUAACGGCCCACCAAGGCGAAGACGGGUAGCUGGUCUGAGAGGACGACCAGCCACACUGGAACUGAGACACGGUCCAGACACCUACGGGUGGCAGCAGUCGAGAAUUUUUCUCAAUGGGGGAAACCCUGAAGGAGCGACGCCGCGUGGAGGAUGAAGGCUUUCGGGUUGUAAACUCCUGUCAUCUGGGAACAAAACUCGCAAGAGCUUNAUAGUACCAGANGANGAAGAGACGGCUA
rnacentral:rRNA from 1 species